rnacentral:rRNA from 1 species
GACGGAGGAUGCAAGCGUUAUCCGGAAUGAUUGGGCGUAAAGCGUCCGCAGGUGGCAGUUCAAGUCUGCUGUCAAAGACCGGGGCUUAACUUCGGAAAGGCAGUGGAAACUGAACAGCUAGAGUAUGGUAGGGGCAGAGGGAAUUCCUGGUGUAGCGGUGAAAUGCGUAGAGAUCAGGCGGAACACCCGUGGCGAAGGCGGCCAGCUGGGCCGUCCCUGACGCUGAGGCGCGAAGGCGUGGGGAGCGAACGGG